UCACAGACUGCACAGUGUCACACACUGUUGCAAACAGACCUUCUGUCCUUCUGUCCCCAGCAGCUGAACAAGGGGGACCAGGGACAGAGUUGUCUCCCUACCCCUGGCAUAAUGCUGGCUUGGGAGGGGACUUUUUGUGGUUCUCCUGGCACUUGUUGAGAGGACAAAUCCACCCCUGCUUGCUUGAAUCACCUACAACGGCGGGAGAAGAAGGGAGGAUGUGCUGCAGCACCCUGCUGGUGCUGAGGGAUCUCACCAGUGAGUCAGCCCAGUGUAGCCAUGUGAUAAAUGAGCUGAAAAGAAGCAAAACCUCUUCCCUGGAUUUUUUAGCACUCUCAACCAGGUUGGAGCAACAUCCCCCGUUAGGACUCAAAACUCAGAAA